rnacentral:rRNA from 1 species
CACGUGGGUAACCUGCCUGUAAGACUGGGAUAACUCCGGGAAACCGGAGCUAAUACCGGAUAGUUCCUUGAACCGCAUGGUUCAAGGAUGAAAGACGGUUUCGGCUGUCACUUACAGAUGGACCCGCGGCGCAUUAGCUAGUUGGUGGGGUAAUGGCUCACCAAGGCGACGAUGCGUAGCCGACCUGAGAGGGUGAUCGGCCACACUGGGACUGAGACACGGCCCAGACUCCUACGGGAGGCAGCAGUAGGGAAUCUUCCGCAAUGGACGAAAGUCUGACGGAGCAACGCCGCGUGAGUGAUGAAGGUUUUCGGAUCGUAAAGCUCUGUUGUUAGGGAAGAACAAGUGCGAGAGUAACUGCUCGCACCUUGACGGUACCUAACCAGAAAGCCACGGCUAACUACGUGCCAGCAGCCGCGGUAAUACGUAGGUGGCAAGCGUUGUCCGGAAUUAUUGGGCGUAAAGGGCUCGCAGGCGGUUUCUUAAGUCUGAUGUGAAAGCCCCCGGCUCAACCGGGGAGGGUCAUUGGAAACUGGGAAACUUGAGUGCAGAAGAGGAGAGUGGAAUUCCACGUGUAGCGGUGAAAUGCGUAGAGAUGUGGAGGAACACCAGUGGCGAAGGCGACUCUCUGGUCUGUAACUGACGCUGAGGAGCGAAAGCGUGGGGAGCGAACAGGAUUAGAUACCCUGGUAGUCCACGCCGUAAACGAUGAGUGCUAAGUGUUAGGGGGUUUCCG